rfam:Brassica oleracea var. oleracea cultivar TO1000 chromosome C3, whole genome shotgun sequence
GGAAUAUAAGAAUCCGUCUCUUAACUUUUAACUAAAAAAAUUAAGAACCGGCUCUUAAAACUCUUAUUUAAGAACCGGUUCUUAGUUUUUUUAGUUAAAAAUUAAGAGACGGAUUAUUAUAUUCC